rnacentral:rRNA from 1 species
UGGGGGAUAUUGCACAAUGGGCGAAAGCCUGAUGCAGCGACGCCGCGUGGGGGAUGAAGGCCUUCGGGUUGUAAACUUCUUUUGCUCUGAACAAGGCAUGCUAAUGGGUGUGUUGAGUGUAGGGGUUGAUUAGCGCCGGCUAACUACGUGCCAGCAGCCGCGGUAAUACGUAGGGCGCGAGCGUUGUCCGGAAUUAUUUGGCGUAAAGGGCUUGUAGGUGGCUGGUUGCGUCUGUCGUGAAAGCUCAUGGCUUAACUGUGGGUUUGCGGUGGGUACGGGCUGGCUUGAGUGCAGUAGGGGAGGCUGGAAUUCCUGGUGUAGCGGUGGAAUGCGCAGAUAUCAGGAGGAAUACCGGUGGCGAAGGCGGGUCUCUGGGCUGUUACUGACACUGAGGAGCGAAAGCAUGGGGAGCGAACAGG